AGCUCCAAUAGCGUAUAUUAAAGUUGUUGCGGUUAAAAAGCUCGUAGUUGGAUCUCAGUUCCGGAGCGACGGUUCGCCUCUGGCGACUUACUGUCGAUCCGAACAGCUCGUCAGCUCGCACGGGGUGCUCUUCAUCGAGUGUCCCGCGUGGCUGGCACGUUUACUUUGAAAAAAUUAGAGUGCUCAAAGCAGGCUGUCGCCUGAAUAGUUGUGCAUGGAAUGAUGGAAUAGGACCUCGGUUCUAUUUUGUUGGUUUUCGGAACCCGAGGUAAUGAUUAAUAGAGACGGACGGGGGCAUUCGUAUUGCGACGCUAGAGGUGAAAUUCUUGGACCGUCGCAAGACGAACUACUGCGAAAGCAUUUGCCAAGCACGUUCUCA
rnacentral:rRNA from 1 species